UACAGAGGGGGCAAGCGUUGUUCGGAAUUACUGGGCGUAAAGCGUGCGCAGGCGGCUAUGCAAGACAGAUGUGAAAUCCCCGGGCUCAACCUGGGAACUGCAUUUGUGACUGCAUGGCUAGAGUACGGGUAGAGGGGGAUGGAAUUCCGCGUGUAGCAGUGAAUGCGUAGAUAUGCGGAGGAACACCGAUGGCGAAGGCAA
rnacentral:rRNA from 1 species